AAAUGGUCGCGGUGCAAUGAAGUUGCGAAACGUGGAAUGAAGGUGGACGUGCAAAUUCUUUUGAGUUGUGGGACAGCAACAAAAUCGGCGAUAAAGAGAAUAAACUGCUGUAGAGUCGAAUGUUGAGGACAGAUUCUUCAUGGAAUAAUUCGAUGAUAGUUGGCAAUCUUCGAUGAAAAGAAUAAUAGCAGCAGGUAUGUUGCAUAAUCACGGAGUUAGUUCCGACGUUCAAUCUGGGCCAUGCGCAGGCUGGGCCAACCCAGUUCGGAUGUUCGUGGAAUAGUAUGGAGGAUGAGUUUGACGUUAAAAAAGCUG